GAUGAACGCUGGCGGCGUGCUUAACACAUGCAAGUCGAGCGAUGAAGUUUCCUUCGGGAAACGGAUUAGCGGCGGACGGGUGAGUAACACGUGGGUAACCUGCCUCAUAGAGUGGAAUAGCCUUCCGAAAGGAAGAUUAAUACCGCAUAACGUUGAAAGAUGGCAUCAUCAUUUAACCAAAGGAGCAAUCCGCUAUGAGAUGGACCCGCGGCGCAUUAGCUAGUUGGUGGGGUAACGGCCUACCAAGGCGACGAUGCGUAGCCGACCUGAGAGGGUGAUCGGCCACAUUGGGACUGAGACACGGCCCAGACUCCUACGGGAGGCAGCAGUGGGGAAUAUUGCACAAUGGGGGAAACCCUGAUGCAGCAACGCCGCGUGAGUGAUGAAGGUUUUCGGAUCGUAAAGCUCUGUCUUUGGGGAAGAU
rnacentral:rRNA from 1 species